CAGGUGCGGCUGAUUACCUAUUAACCCUCUGCAAUUUGAUUGGCUGUUUGCCAAAGUACUGUUGUCAUGUGUUUUUUAGUUGGCAGAAGUAGCCUAAGUAACUGCGGCCAGGUCACCAUGAACAACACACAUUUAAAAGUCUGCCAUUUGACUUAAAAUUUGAGAGUAGCUACAGAACACCUCGGUGCCCACCAGCCGCGAGAUAUUAUAAACAAAACCUCUGGUAGUGGUUCUCCAGGAAAAAAAUGGCUAACUGCUAGCUUGAAGAAGCUAAUUUUGUUUCCCGUGUGUGUUGUUCGGAAGGGAAUCUGAGAGCAUUACCAAACAUGAAAGCAGCAGGACAGCUCGGUAAAAUCGGGCAAACAUAACGUUAACCCAAACCGACAGCCUAUUCAAAGGAGGAGUUGUAACGUUAUAACAACAAACCGGAGAACCAGGAUCAACUUUUAUUGUCUCGACAUUGUGCGGAUACAUUGAAUCGUCCUGAAGAACUCGACGCUAUUUCAGGAAGGAGAACAUUUAAUUGGACAUUAAAGUUCUUGAAGCUGUGGGAACAGUCUCUUGAAGCCAUGCCUGUUUUUGUAACAGUCCCAGUAAAUGGAUUCUCAGGAGUCUGAAGAUGUGUGUGUGUUUAUGUGUAUGUAUGUAUGUGUGUGUGUUUAUUGGUUGAGGAAAAUGGUGAAACACCUCACUUCCUCUCUCCUCCCACAACCUUCCAUGGUCUCAAUCUGUGAUGCUGUCAGACGCUGGUGAUGGAGGCCAGGCAGUUCGAUGACUUCUGGAGUUUCUCAGGCUGUGUGGUGGGGGGUUCUGGGAUGGCGCGAAAGCUGAAUGGCAGUCCGAUACUACUGGUGCCGAUGUGGCCGGGGCUCAGCGCUGGAUUCUGCCGUCUAUUGCUUUCCACUAUGCUGGAUGUGUUGGAUGCAAGGCUUUCACGCGUCCUGCACAAGAGACAACAGAAAGUCAAGUGUUUGCUUUUUAAAUACAUUAAAUCUUAUAUUAGGUAUAAGUGAUUUCUUGUCUAGAAAGAGGAAUACCAAAAUGGAUUGCAAUUGUUUUAAAAUCUAUUUUGCAGACUGAAGAAAAAUGCAGAUACAUUGUAGAUUCUGAGAAUAAUAAGAGCAAAUUCCUUCCAGGUUUCCUUCAUUUAAAAAAUUCAAAUAAGCACAAAGGCUUUUUUCAUGCCAUUCAUCUUGGAAAAUACAGUACAUUAAAAAUAUAUUAAAGAAAAAUCCUAAAUAGAUCAAAGCAACUUGGUACACAAUCAUAUUAAUAUAAUACAUUAUAAAUAUUAGGGCAGGGACGAUAUGCCUUUGUCCCAAUUAGAUUCUUUCACGAUACAUGGGUGCCCAUUCGAUUUUCAUUGUGAUUUUUAUUUAUUGCCAUUGUAGAAGUGUUGUGAUUCGAUAGUAUUAUAUAGUAUUGAGUAUUGCAAUUUUCUGUUCCUUCGUUUCCAAAAACAAAAGCUGAAAGUUUUAAAAAUCUUUGCAAAAAUCACAAUACAUACGAUUUUUGAUUAUACAUAUUUUUUUUUUCCCACCCAUAAUAAAUGUGUGGUAUAUUUGCUAUGUCUACAUUAUUUAUUCUUCACAUAUUUAAUCCCAAUAUUUGUCUAAAUAGAACACUUUCUCAGGAGCGUACAUAUGUAUUUUUUUUAUUUGUGUUAAAGGGUUAUUAGAUUCACGAUGGACCGAGAGCUGAUGGCGCAGUGGAUAUAACCCGUACCUUUUGAUGUGGGACCCCUGGGUUCAAAUCCCACUCCCUGAGCAAGACACUUCACCCCUAGUUGCUCCAGAGGCGUGCGACCUCUGGCAUAUGUAGCAAUUGUAAAUCGCUUUGGAUUAAAGGGUCAACUAAAUGACAUGUAAUAUCUUCUGUGGCUCUGAAGGGAGCUCUAAUACCCAGAUUAUGUCAUUAGUUUUUUUUUUUGGAGUGCAAUAUUAAAUUGGUAGAGUUAACUCUCGCUUAGAUGGUUCACAAGUGGUUCACCAACGUUAAACUGGUGCACUGUGAUAAUGUUUCAGUCAAGGAGCAGAAAUGGCUUGCUAGCUAGUAAAUUUGUUUGUCUGAUAAACUGAUGUUUGCAGUUGUUUACAUAAAGGUGAAACUAUUAAGUAAACCAUUUAUACCGUAAAUAAGUGGCUCGUUACUACAAUUACUGUCUGCCAAGGUUAGUAAGCCAUUUGCUGCUAUCAAGAUGAAGGGAAUACAACUGUGUGAUCUAAGUUGCUUUAAAUACCAUACAUCAUACACCAACCAACAUAAUAAAUAUAAUGAAUACAUCAUUGGAAUACUAUAAAGUUAUUUGGUUAUUAAUUAGCAUGAAACUGGUGAUAAUAAAGAAGUUUGAAUCUGUCAA